rnacentral:sRNA from 2 species
AUCACUGCUAAUCUAUCACUGCUAAUCUAUCGCUGCUAAUCUAUCACUGCUAAUCUAUUGCUGUCAACCUAUCUACCACUGCCAAUCUAUCUAUCACUGCCAAUCUAUAUAGGGUAAAUCAUGGUCCCAUUUGGUCUCAUUUUGUAAAAUGGAAUCAAAUGGAAUCAGAAUCAUUAAUUUAUUAGUAAAACAUAAUCUGAGACUAGAUUUAUAAUAUAAACAGUGUAAAGUAACUAAUUUGCUAAAUACUAUAUGAGAUCAGAACUAAGAUAUCUAAUAAUAAAACUGAGGAAAAAUUUGAUCUCAGUUUCAUACAUGGUCACACAGCCAGUCUAUAAAGUACUGAG